UACAGAGGGUGCAAGCGUUAAUCGGAAUUACUGGGCGUAAAGCGCGCGUAGGCGGCUUGACAAGUCGAGUGUGAAAUCCCCGGGCUUAACCUGGGAAUGGCAUUUGGGACUGCAAGGCUGGAGUGUGGCAGAGGAGACUGGAAUUCCUGGUGUAGCAGUGAAAUGCGUAGAUAUCAGGAGGAAUACCGAUGGCGAAGGCAGGUCUCUGGGCUGACACUGACGCUCAUGCACGAAAGCGUGGGGAGCAAACGGG
rnacentral:rRNA from 1 species